CCACAGCACAGGACAGGGACCAGAGACGCCUGGACUAAGCUGUGUGCGCAGUGUAAAGCUCCACAGCAUCGUCUCCAUCUGCUGAGGGCCAGGCUGAGAGAACUCUGUGUGCAGUGAGUAGGGAGUCAGCCCAUCUUCUUUCUACACAGUGAGCACAGGACACGUGCAUGGUGGGGUCCAUGUGGAAAACUUGGUUCUAAGUCCAUCCUAUAUAGUGACUUGUCUUUUAGAGAGAGGGUCUCAUGUAGUCCAGGCUGGCCUUGAACUUGCUGUCAUGAAGGAUGGCUUCCAGUUCUUCUGCUUCCAACUCCCAAGUUGGGAAUCACACUGAUGGAGCCCAGGCAGGGUCCUAUGCAGUGGCUCCCGUUCCCACAGCAGCCCCACGAGGGUCUCCUCUAGCUACUGCCAUCCCACAGAGGAGGAAGCAGACAUGAGAAGCUGUCUCUCCCAGCCACAGAGACUAAGAUGGAGCUGACCCAUCUCCUUGUCUGGCACAGCCCCAUGAGGUAAAUUGACUCUCUGGUAGCAAAGACGGUUUCUAAAGCAGAUAAUGUAGGGGCUCUGCUAUUGUCCAGACAGAUGGACAGGGCCAGACAGAAGCUGGCCAGAGCACCUGUGCAGAAAGCUCUCAGAGCUGGGAGAGCCAUGGCUGAGGGUGUGAAUGCUCAGGUGACUUCCAGAGGUGCACUGGAAGGUGCAUAGACAGGGUGAGGGGACCGAGACUGCAGUCCUGAGAUCUGCAGCAGAUCUGAGAGGGAAGACUGCAAGACAGGCAGGGCUUUGGGGAGGCUCAGAAGGCAAUGGAGGGCUGAGGAGAAGGCAAUGUGAGGCUGAGGAGAAGGCUCAGUCAGUAAAGUGCUCAACUUCAGGAGCCUGAAGACUUGAGUCUGGAUCUCUGAAUUCCACGGAGAAGCCAGGCACCGUGUCUAACCUGGCCCAUAUGGCAAAGUUUCUAGCCAUUGAGAGACCUUGUCUCAGAAAUUGGAAGGUGCCUGAAAAACAUCAUCCAAGUUUAUCCUCUGACCUCCAGGGCUCUCUCUACUGGGUGUGGUACAGGCACAGAGGUAGGGAUGGUCUUGGGCCUGAUUGGUCAAGAAGUGUAGCACAGAACUAGAGUAUGGAGUAAUUGGGAGUGGGGCAGGACACGGGCGUGGGGACACUUUCUUCAGAUCUGCCAGCUGCCCUCAUCGGGAGUUCCCCAUCAGCGUGAACUCUCUAGUAGCUAGCGCAGGAGUGGAGUUGCAGAGCUGAAGAUGGCAAGUCAUAAGGAGAAAGCGAGUGGGAAGAUGCCCGUGAGAGAGCACUGCAUGCUGUUCUCAGGCUGCUUCCACCCGCCAUGGGUUACCACAGAAAAAUUCCAGACCCUGUGUGAGAUGACCCCAGUGUUCUUUUAGUCAGGGAGGCCCGAGGCUUCCAAAAUGAUACAGGCUAGUACUCUUUUUAUUGGUUACCCACCAGAAAUAGAUAAGACCCUACUGUCGAGGACACCACAGCUUGGUCUUGGCACAUAGAGAAAUCAGCUAAAACUGACUGGUGCACUCCCUCCCUACUGCCCAGCUCUCUCUGUGCAGGAUGGCGGUAAGCACACUGCCGGGAGAAGACAGUCAUCAGCGCUCUGCGGCAGUCCAUUCUGUAUGCUGCAAUGCCCACCUGCUGGAGACGGUAUGCCCAUGAAUGCAAUCAUGGCCUGAGAGCUAGGACGCCCUGAAAAGGACAUAGUACCAGUACCACCAGAUACCAGGCGCAACCUGCAAACCAGUAAUGAUGUACGCAAUGCAACAGAAAAGAAUAAAUCACAGGAGAAAGCUGCACGGGUGAGCACUUCCUGAGAUCUGAAUUCGGUGUCUGGGAUCUCUCUGAAUCUAGAAAUAAGCCACCUGGUUGUGGCUUACACCUGUCAGAUCCCAAGAAAAGCAGCCAGUUCUGAGAGUUUCAGGUCUCGAAACAAGAACAUUCAGGAGCACUCUGUAGGGAAGGAACUGUGUUCCCCUGAAGAUCAUCAGAAGUAUUCGAGGUACGUGCAAACACUUGAAAGUGCGCAUGUGCGAGCUCUUGGGCGUGCACGCAGGCAAGUGCUGCUCCAUAGAGGAAAAGUGCAGUGACAAUGAACUCCCCUGGCUGUGCAAAUGUUUCAUGUGUACAGCUUUUAGGUGUGAUCUCUAUAGCAUGUUCACAUAUGACCUAUGACAGCUGACUCUUGCCAUCCACAAUCAAGCGGAACUGCAAGUUUGAAGAAUCACGUUUAAUAACAAAGUUUACAAAUGUUUUUAAAGCCCUCAGCACUGGAACACGCACACUCACGUGUGCUCAGAGACCGAAGAGAUUGAAUGGCUUGACUCUGCGGAGAGAAAGACUUGGCUGCCGAGCUUCUAAGAGGCAGAGGAGAGGCCCCGCUGUCGGGGAGGUCAUAUUUGCUUACAUGGAUUUAGCCUAUGGUGAGCAGCCCCCGUUCCUCCUGAAUGUAGAAAAGCUCUCCCCAGUCUCCGUGGGACAAUAAUCGGGGCCUCUGUUUUGCUCUGGGAUAAUCACAUAUAUUAUGAUUACACUUCUCUCACCUGCCAAGAGAAAACUUGUCACAGUUGCCUGGGGCUCUCAAUCCCACUCUGUCAUAGCACACCUCAAUGAAGCCCCACCUGCCUCAGUGGAUGAUUCUCGUCCUUCUCUCUCUGCCUGAGUUUCACAGCCUUGGCUGCUCCUGUGCUUUGCCGAGUUCCCUAGAAAGGCACAGAUACU
rnacentral:lncRNA from 1 species